rnacentral:ncRNA from 1 species
CGGGGGACGACCUCCGACGGUGAGACAGACCGGGGACGACCCCG